UACCAUUAUUGUGUGAGGUGCAAUGUGU
rnacentral:piRNA from 1 species